CUUACAGCAGCUCCGUUGGGACCAGCACGGCCUCUCUCACCAGGCAGACCACGGGGUCCCUAAAAGAGAGGGAGAGAUAUUGGCACGGUCUGCUGACAAAAUGGAAGGUGGGACUCACCAUGGCUCCAGGGGCUCCGUUCUCACCAGAUGCACCACCCUCUCCCUGAGGAAGGACAAACAGACACACAGACAGACAGAGUGAGUGUAUGGAUGGAGAAUGACAUUGCGACUCACCUGUGGGCCGGAAGCUCCACGCUCACCGUUGCGACCAGGCUUGCCAGA